rnacentral:rRNA from 1 species
GACGAACGCUGGCGGCGUGCUUAACACAUGCAAGUCGAACGAAGAGCGAUGGAAGCUUGCUUCUAUCAAUCUUAGUGGCGCACGGGUGAGUAACGCGUAAUCAACCUGCCCUUCAGAGGGGGACAACAGUUGGAAACGACUGCUAAUACCGCAUACGAUCUAAUCUCGGCAUCGAGGAUAGAUGAAAGGUGGCCUCUACAUGUAAGCUAUCACUGAAGGAGGGGAUUGCGUCUGAUUAGCUAGUUGGAGGGGUAACGGCCCACCAAGGCGAUGAUCAGUAGCCGGUCGGAGAGGAUGAACGGCCACAUUGGGACUGAGACACGGCCCAGACUCCUACGGGAGGCAGCAGUGGGGAAUCUUCCGCAAUGGACGAAAGUCUGACGGAGCAACGCCGUGUGAGCGAUGACGGCCUUCGGGUUGUAAAGCUCUGUUAAUCGGGACGAAAGGCCUUCUUGCGAAUAGUGAGAAGGAUUGACGGUACCGGAAUAGAAAGCCACGGCUAACUACGUG